rnacentral:rRNA from 1 species
GAUGAACGCUGGCGGCGUGCCUAACACAUGCAAGUCGAGCGAACAGACGAGGAGCUUGCUCCUUUGACGUUAGCGGCGCGCGUGUGAGUAACACGUGGAAACCCCCCUUGAAAUUCGGGGAAAUUUCGGAGAAACCGGAGAAAAUCCGGGAGAAUAUAUUGAACCGCAGGGUGCAUUGGAAAAAUACGGUUUUUGGGUCACUAAUAGAUGAUUCCGCGCCGGUUUGGGUAGUGGGUAAGUAACAGGCUUACCAAGGCUAGCAGGCGUGAGCGACCGGAGGGAGUGAUCGGCCACACUGGAACUGAGACACGGACCAGACUACUACGGGAGGCAGCAGUAGGGUAUCUUACGCAAUGGGCGAAAGCCUGACGGAGCAAGGCCGCGUGAGUGAUGACGGCCUUCGGAGCGUAAAACUCUGUUAUGAGGGAUGAACAAAUGUGUAAGUAACUAUGCCCGUAUUGACGGUACCUAAUCAGAAAGCAACGGCUAACUACGUG